rnacentral:rRNA from 1 species
GCGUUACUUUACACAAACUCUUGAAUGUCAUAGAAUGUAUAUUGGCCUACGGGCUUUAAUUUAAAUACAACUUUCAACAACGGAUCUCUUGGCUCUCGCAUCGAUGAAGAACGCAGCGAAAUGCGAUAAGUAAUGUGAAUUGCAGAAUUCAGUGAAUCAUCGAAUCUUUGAACGCACCUUGCGCUCCUUGGUAUUCCGAGGAGCAUGCCUGUUUGAGUGUCGUGAACAUAUCAACCCCGACGGGAUUUUAAUCUCGACGGUGGCUUGGACUUGGGAGCCUGCUGGCCGUUGUACUUCGGUCGGCUCUCCUUGAAUGCAUUAGCUUGGACUUGUUUCAUGGGCUGCAUAGCGUGAUAACUAUCUACGCUUUGUACUGUCUGUGGGAUACUCAUGAGUCUGGCUUCUAAUCGUCCUCUGGACAAUUACUUUACGUUUUGACCUCAAAUCAGGUAGGACUACCCGCUGAACUUAAGCAUAUCAAUAAGCGGAGGAAAAGAAACUAACAAGGAUUCCCCUAGUAACUGCGAGUGAAGCGGGAUGAGCUCAAAUUUAAAAUCUGGCGGUUAUGCCGUCCGAGUUGUAAUCUGGAGAAGCGUCUUCCGCGC